rnacentral:rRNA from 1 species
UACGUAGGGUGCGAGCGUUGUCCGGAAUUAUUGGGCGUAAAGGGCUCGUAGGCGGUUUGUUAAGUGCAGAGUGAAAGCUCCCGGCUCAACUGGGAGAGGUCUUUGCAUACUGGCAAACUCGAGGGAGGCAGAGGAAAGUGGAAUUCCCGGUGUAGUGGUGAUAUGCGUAGAUAUCGGGAGGAACACCUGUGGCGAAGGCGGCUUUCUGGGCCUUACCUGACGCUGAGACGCGAAAGCGUGGGGAGCGAACCGGG